rnacentral:rRNA from 1 species
GUGGGGAAUAUUGGACAAUGGGCGAAAGCCUGAUCCAGCCAUGCCGCGUGUGUGAAGAAGGUCUUCGGAUUGUAAAGCACUUUAAGUUGGGAGGAAGGGCAGUAAGUUAAUACCUUGCUGUUUUGACGUUACCGACAGAAUAAGCACCGGCUAACUUCGUGCCAGCAGCCGCGGUAAUACGAAGGGUGCAAGCGUUAAUCGGAAUUACUGGGCGUAAAGCGCGCGUAGGUGGUUUUGUAAGUUGGAGGUGAAAUCCCCGGGCUCAACCUGGGAACUGCCUCCAAAACUGCGUGACUAGAGUACGGUAGAGGGUAGUGGAAUUUCCUGUGUAGCGGUGAAAUGCGUAGAUAUAGGAAGGAACACCAGUGGCGAAGGCGACUACCUGGACUGAUACUGACACUGAGGUGCGAAAGCGUGGGGAGCAAACAGGAUUAGAAACCCGUGUAGUCC